rnacentral:lncRNA from 1 species
GUAUGGUGAAAGCAUGGCUGUUGCUCAGGGCAAAGGAAAAAAGUAGAUUUGCAUACUUCCGAUGAAACUUAUCUUCUGCCGUUUAUGGGACCAGAAAUGUUACGCCCUUUUUACACCAACAUAUGAGGGAUGCAAUGAUUUGGCCGGAGCUGCAGAUAAAAAUUUGAAGAAAAUCAUAGCAUCUGUGUUCCUUCUACAGGUCUCAAUAAUUUAGCAGUUAUCCAGACACCGACAAAAGCACACUUAACAGUUGGAGACUCCACUGAAAUCACAUGUAUUUGGGAAAAAUGGAUUCGAUUGAGAGAUAUAGAGUAAGCUGGUAUCUUGUCAAUAAGGAGAACAUCACAAAAACUGUAACGUCAGACGUUGUCUACCUAUCCAGUGUCACCCGCGAAAACAAGGAUGUGCUGGUGAUAGAAGCUGCCAAUGUAAAUAACACUGGAUUUUAUUACUGUGAGAUAAUUAUUGAAAUACCUUUCUAUGAAAGAAUGUAUGGAAAUGGAACAAUGCUGACUGUUGAAAAGAAAGGCAAUAGGGAUGGUGCGUGUUUCACCUAACCUUAAAGAAAGAAUGUGUCAUACCUGGAGGACAAUUUACCUUACUUCUGUUACACAACUCUCAAGAUCCUGUGCGUCGCUUUUUGAUGACAACGAUGAUCUCCCUCUCCUUUUCUGUCGCAGCUGUAGAGAAAGACAAGAAGCUGACUCACUGGAGAAGAGAGGGAUGGCAAUUUUGGCCAUCAUUCCUUUCCUAGUGGCAGUGGGAAGCUUGUAUCUUUGCUACAAAAAGAAACAGAACGCAAAACUUUCUGGUUCUACCCAGCUGCCUAUGCCAGAAGAAAGACAUCAGGAGGAGCAGGUGCUUCAGGUAGCAGAGCUUCAUGGAAGAAGUGGAUUCAUCAGUGAAGGAGUGGAGGAAAACUCAACAUGUAAUUCUGCUGGAUGGGCUGUAUCUGUGCUGUAUGAAUCCUUUGAUCUUUUUUGCAAUGAACCAAGAUAAGAUGGCAAAUCUACUGUGACUGCUGUAUCCAGCACAGCAAAUGAGCAAAUCCUGUGAAUUAGGGCAGCCAAAGAGUCAAGAACGAAAGUGAGACAAGGAUUUACCACCUACUUUGACACUGAGAACUAAAUGAUCCUGUCAUAAAUAACCAAUAUGGAUAAAGAUCUAUGAAACUGAAAAUACCACCAUAAUUGCUGCUGAAAUAUGGAUUACUUGAGUCUGCUGUCAGAAGAAUGUUAGAGGGACAAUAUGCCAGAACAAGGGUUGGUUCGGAACAGUCUCUAAACGUUUUAUCAUUGACUUUAUCGUAAGGAGUCUGUGAAUUUGAAGUGUUUGCAGUUGUAGAAGGCUAUGUCUUCAACUUUACCCCCAAUAUCCAGAGUGCAGAACUAAUAAAGUAUGUAUUGACAUACUUGAAAAUCUUCUA